rnacentral:tRNA from 1 species
GGUCCCGUAGUUCAACGGAUAGAAUAGCAGUUUCCUAAACUGUAGAUAUGGGUUCGAUUCCCGUCGGGACUACCA